CACGUAGGGACCAAGCGUUGCCCGGAUUUAUUGGGCGUAAAGAGCUCGUAGGCGGUUCGGUAAGUCGGGUGUGAAAACUCUGGGCUCAACUCGGAGAGGCCACCCGAUACUGCCGUGACUUGAGUCCGGUAGGGGAGCACGGAAUUCCUGGUGUAGCGGUGAAAUGCGCAGAUAUCAGGAGGAACACCGGUGGCGAAGGCGGUGCUCUGGGCCGGUACUGACGCUGAGGAGCGAAAGCGUGGGUAGCAAACAGG
rnacentral:rRNA from 1 species